UGCCAGAGCCAUAUCACCCUGCAGCUCUCACCUAGUUUCCCACUGAAGCUAAGCAGGGUUGAGCCUGGCCAGUACCUGGAUGGGAGACUUCAGGAAAACUAAGGUUGCUGCUGCAA
rnacentral:rRNA from 1 species